rnacentral:rRNA from 1 species
CACGUAGUUAGCCGGUGCUUAUUCUUCAGGUACCGUCAUUAGCCCAGGAUAUUAGCCCGGACCGUUUCUUCCCUGACAAAAGAGCUUUACAACCCGAAGGCCUUCUUCACUCACGCGGCAUUGCUGGAUCAGGGUUGCCCCCAUUGUCCAAAAUUCCCCACUGCUGCCUCCCGUAGGAGUCUGGGCCGUGUCUCAGUCCCAGUGUGGCUGGUCGUCCUCUCAGACCAGCUACUGAUCGAUGCCUUGGUAGGCUUUUACCCUACCAACUAGCUAAUCAGAUAUCGGCCGCUCCACGAGCAUGAGGUCUUGCGAUCCCCCAUUUCAUCCUUAGAUCGUAUGCGGUAUUAGCUAGUCUUUCGACUAGUUAUCCCCCAUCCAGGGCACGUUCCGAUAUAUUACUCACCCGUUCGCCACUCGCCACCAUGGUUGCCUCGUGCUGCCGUUCGACCUGCAUGUGUAAGGCAUGCCGCCAGCGUUCAAUCUGAGCCAGGA